UACGGGGGGAGCAAGCGUUGUUCGGAUUUACUGGGCGUAAAGGGCGCGUAGGCGGCGUGACAAGUCACUUGUGAAAUCUCCGGGCUUAACCCGGAGCGGUCAAGUGAUACUGUCGUGCUAGAGUGCGGAAGGGGCUACUGGAAUUCUCGGUGUAGCGGUGAAAUGCGUAGAUAUCAGGAAGAACAUCGGUGGCGAAGGCGCUCUGCUGGACCAUAACUGACACUCAGGGACGAAAGCUAGGGGAGCGAAUGGG
rnacentral:rRNA from 1 species